UACGUAGGGUGCGAGCGUUGUCCGGAAUUACUGGGCGUAAAGAGCUCGUAGGUGGUUUGUCGCGUUGUCCGUGAAAACUCACAACUCAAUUGUGGGCGUGCGGGCGAUACGGGCAGACUGGAGUACUGCAGGGGAGACUGGAAUUCCUGGUGUAGCGGUGGAAUGCGCAGAUAUCAGGAGGAACACCGGUGGCGAAGGCGGGUCUCUGGGCAUUACCUGACGCUGAGGAGCGAAAGUGUGGGGAGCGAACAGG
rnacentral:rRNA from 1 species